rnacentral:tRNA from 1 species
GCCGAGAUGGCCCGGGACCGGGGGAAGGCCUCGCCGUGGCCGUGGACGGCGGUUCGGAAUCGCUGCUCGGCC